rnacentral:rRNA from 1 species
UGGGGAAUCUUGCACAAUGGGCGAAAGCCUGAUGCAGCAACGCCGCGUGCGGGGAGAAGGCCCUCGGGUUGUAAACCGCUUUCAGAAGGAACGAAACUGACGGUACUUUCAGAAGAAGGUGCGGCCAACUACGUGCCAGCAGCCGCGGUGACACGUAGGCACCAAGCGUUGUCCGGAUUUAUUGGGCGUAAAGAGCUCGUAGGCGGUUCAGUAAGUCGGGUGUGAAAACUUUGGGCUUAACCCAAAGCGUGCAUCCGAUACUGCUGUGACUCGAGUACGGUAGGGGAGCGGGGAAUUCCUAGUGUAGCGGUGAAAUGCGCAGAUAUUAGGAGGAACACCGGUGGCGAAGGCGCCGCUCUGGGCCGAAACUGACGCUGAGGAGCGAAAGCAUGGGUAGCAAACAGGAUUAGAUACCCGUGUAGUCCCUGAGCGGGCUGGCAAGGCGCAU